rnacentral:ncRNA from 1 species
CAGGUUAGUUUUACCCUACUGAUGACAAGUCUUUGCGAUAGUAAUCCUGCUCAGUACGAGAGGAACCGCGGGAUCAGACAUUUGGUUCAUGCGCUCGGCUGAAAGGCCGGUGGCGCGAAGCUAGCAUCUGCAAGAUUAUGACUGAACGCCUCUAAGUCAGAAUCUUUUCUAGUCAUUGGCAACGAUAAGUUGCGUCCAGACUCGAUGCGAGGAAACGAUUAGGCUUUGCUGCUAUACGGCGAAGCCAUUAUCAGACCACGGUAGCAGGCAGUAUGGGAUUGUUACGAAGAAGCAAUUUUUUGAAGUCAGUUGAAUUCAAUGAAACUGCUAACAAUUCCACUGCGAAUGACUCCAUUCGAAUCAAUCGAAGCACAGCGGUCAGGAUGUCGAACAUUUUGCAGACGACAAAAAUACCGGUUCAGGUGUCGUAAUCAGUAGAGCAGUCAACACACUGCGAUCUGAUGAGACUCAUCCUUGUAAUCGAUUUGCUCGU